AAAAAGAAGAAGAAGAAGAAGAAAAAGAAGAGGAAGAAUUAAAGCGGGUCAAACCUACCCUGGCAGGUUUUGUAGCGGGCGGGUCCCGGGUCCGUGCCGGAGUUGGCAGGGCGGGUUUGGGUGGCCAAACCAGCUCCGCUGCCUACUAGUCACAAUACAAUUGUCUGCGUGAUCCGCUUUCAUAUGAGCUUUGAAUGCGGCUGAGCAAACAGACAGGGAUUAAGGGGUGUGCGAUAUGUGCUGAAACUGUUGGUCAACACUCACAUUUUUUCCGUAAGACUGAUUUCAGCAUUUCGUACCAAGCAUGAGUUAGCUAUGUGGUUGUAUACUAAAUUUUUGGGCAGACGACCUUUUUCGAAUUUGUUCGAAAUAGAACUGAAAUCAGGUGCUCUCGUUUUCCCGUUUGCAAUAAUUGUUUGAACUUCGGGAGGCUUCUCUAUGUUAGAACCCGUUCAAAAUCCCCAUCCUCCCUUCUUUGCAUCCUGUUAAAAGCAAUUUUGGCAUGAUUAACUUGAGUGUAGUUUUUCAAUUCAAUAUGAUGCUUUAUGAGUAUU